rnacentral:lncRNA from 1 species
GUUGUAGUUGUACGGCUCCGUACUCCAGGCGUGUGUGUACAAAAGCUUGGAAAAUUAAAACAAGAACCGUUAUAUAUACGAAGUUUUGAUGUACAAGUUUCAUUUUCUUGAGGAAAAAAAAGUAGCAACUUGUUAAUUUAUUUGCAUUAUGUUAGUUCAAAACAAGAUAGAUAUGAACACAAAAGAAGAAUACAAGGUUGAUAAUCAUAUCAUUUGAUUAC